GAUGAACGCUGGCGGCGCGCCUAAUACAUGCAAGUCGAGCGAACGGACGAGAAGCUUGCUUCUCUGAUGUUAGCGGCGGACGGGUGAGUAACACGUGGAUAACCUACCUAUAAGACUGGGAUAACUUCGGGAAACCGGAGCUAAUACCGGAUAAUAUUUUGAACCGCAUGGUUCAAAAGUGAAAGACGGUCUUGCUGUCACUUAUAGAUGGAUCCGCGCUGCAUUAGCUAGUUGGUAAGGUAACGGCUUACCAAGGCAACGAUGCAUAGCCGACCUGAGAGGGUGAUCGGCCACACUGGAACUGAGACACGGUCCAGACUCCUACGGGAGGCAGCAGUAGGGAAUCUUCCGCAAUGGGCGAAAGCCUGACGGAGCAACGCCGCGUGAGUGAUGAAGGUCUUCGGAUCGUAAAACUCUGUUAUUAGUGAAGAACAUAUGUGUAAGUAACUGUGCACAUCUUGACGGUACCUAAUCAGAAAGCCACGGCUAACUACGU
rnacentral:rRNA from 1 species